UACGUAGGGUGCGAGCGUUAAUCGGAAUUACUGGGCGUAAAGCGUGCGCAGGCGGUGCUGUAAGACCGAUGUGAAAUCCCCGGGCUUAACCUGGGAACUGCAUUGGUGACUGCAGCGCUGGAGUAUGGCAGAGGGGGGGUGGAAUUCCACGUGUAGCAGUGAAAUGCGUAGAGAUGUGGAGGAACACCGAUGGCGAAGGCAGCCCCCUGGGCCAAUACUGACGCUCAUGCACGAAAGCGUGGGGAGCAAACAGG
rnacentral:rRNA from 1 species